GCCCUAACGGCUUUAAACCGCCAUUAAACUCCAACAAAUUCCUCGAAAAGUUCACCGAACUCACACUUGAACAAGCAGCUAACACAGAAACAUCCGCAACCGAACCGAAGAUCCGGUUUCCGGCCAGAUCUAGAACUAUCAGCACUUUACUACACUGAGAUCUAACGGAAACCGUUCCGGUAACAUUGCAGUUUUUCGCAACGAACGACUCGAGAGUCGGAAUCGUCAACAAAGUCGACGAAAUCGAACUGAACUCAACGCUCAAGUCAAUACCGGUCAGAUCUAUUGCGGAAACCCUAGAGUUUCUGCAAGAGAUGCCUGAGAUUAUGAACAAGUGA
rnacentral:lncRNA from 1 species